rnacentral:lncRNA from 1 species
AUUAUUAUUAAUAAAACUAAUCAAAUUAUGCAAGAUUUCCCAUUGGUGGCUUAUAUGCAUAAAUAAUUAGGAAUCUGUUUUCAAGAAUAGAUAGAUCAUAAGCGAGCAAGCAGUAACCCAUGCAAGGCUAAAAAUUCAUACAUACAUUUCAGCCUGGCAUGCAUAUGUAGCAUUCUUAAGAGAGACAUAAUUUCUAUUAAUUUCAGCACAUAUAUAUAUAAUUUCUCAUUUAAGUUUAACUACCUAUGGCCUAUGGGCUAUGGCAGAUGCAUUUGUAGUGGUAGGCGCUGUUGAUGGGGGACCGGAACUUGCACAGCCCUACACUUGAACUUGCACCCUCUGCAUUCAUUAUAACUGCAAGUUGGGGCUACUGAUCCUAUCAUCAAUCUUCUAGCGUUGCCGCCGUCUAUCCACUCUUUCCUACCAGUACGUACCACCCCCCUGGCCCUAUAUAUAUAUCCAAAAAGAUUAUGUAUAACAACAAACUCCAAAAAUAAGAUUGAGAAUUAAUUGACAACUAGCUAUCUAGCUAGCUCUCACCCUCAACUCUUGUUUUUGUGAUGCAUAAUUAUGAUACACCCUCUGUCUCUGUCUCUGAUGAGAACAAGGCUUUAAUAUUUGAAUUCUUGAUCCUGCAACCCUGCCCAAAAUACUAGAUCCAUCAUAAGAUUAAAAUGCAUAAUUAAUUAAACUUGACAAAUAUAUAUAUUGUUUGUUUCAAGGAUAAGCUGAACAAACUAAAAAAAGAUGAAAACUUUACAUGAAGCUUAAUUAGGACUAGCUAGUGACAUGAUGAUAUAAGUACAUUGUAAAAGCUAAGAAAACUUUAAUGCCAAAAAAGAAGAAGCUAAUAAGAUAGUUUAAUGUAAUUGAUCAAGACUAAUUAAGAAAAAGGAAGGAGCAUCAAACAAGAAGCAAUUAGAAUGAAAAUAUAUAUGGUAUAUAUUUGUCAGAUGUGGAAUUAAUAUUUAAUGAAAGAAAGACCAAUUUAUUGUAAAUAUAUAUGUAUGACCUUGUAUAAUUUGUGGUGCCCAAAUUAAACAGAAGAAUACAAAGAGUAGUAAGUUGGGGUUUUUAGUGUUGGCCAUUCUUGGCCUUUGGUAUUGUGAUAGGUUUGAUAGAAUGGGAGAGGCAAAGAGUAGUGAAGUGUAGGUUGAAUUAAUUAUAUACUCCUUAGACAGACAGACAGACCACGUCCAUUCCAUAUACCUCAUGCUUGCUUGAACUCAUGGGGACUUCGAAUUACCAAACUACCCCCCUUUGUUUUGUUCUUUUUUAAGGGACAUUCAUUUUAUGAAAAUUAAUCAUUUCUGUCCAUGCUCCCAACUCGUCAGAGAGAGGGUCGGAAAAAUAGCAAUUGGAGUUUUAUUUUUAAAAUUUAGAGUUUCCUCCCUGAGAAAGCGAAUCCGAACUCCAACGUACACUUGAUUUGAUAGAUACAUAGUGACGCAGCGGUUGGUGGUUUGAGACCCCACCGUUUAGACCCGGCAAAGAUGGCCCAGGCCAGCGGACUUCAAACCAACUAAGCUACAAAAACUAUUUAUUUUUAAUACAAUCUUUAAUAUAUUUUAACUAUAAUUAAAAAUUAUAAUUAAGAUAUGUAAUUAAUUAAUAAUACUAAUUUAUAAUACUAUUAAAAUUUUAAUUGAUUGAGAUAUGUAGUUAAUAAUUUCAAAGUAUAAAACUAUUAAACUAACAAAUAACAGUUGUAGUAAAUUUGGAAAGUAAAUCAAUCAUUAUCCCUUAAUUAUGCAUUCCCUCUACUUAUUUGGAAAGUAAAUCAAUCAUUAUCCCAAAUCAUGCCUUUAGAAUAAUAUCUAAAAUUAUAAUACUAUUAAAAUUUUAAUUGAUUGAGAUAUGUAGUUAAUNNNNNNNNNNNNNNNNNNNNNNNNNNNNNNNNNNNNNNNNNNNNNNNNNNNNNNNNNNNNNNNNNNNNNNNNNNNNNNNNNNNNNNNNNNNNNNNNNNNNAUAUUAUAGUACGUUCUUUGGCUUUUACUACUACUACUAUACAAAAUGUUGCAGGUGGCAGGCAUCUCUGUCCAGGGGUCCAGCUAGCCCUUUUGGUUUUGGAACAGGAAAAUAAAAUGGAAAACCUCAUUAGCAGCAUAGUGCAUGGAUUAUCUAUCUGCCAAUCGGAUUGAAUCGGAGGAGUGCUUGCUGUUCAAGAUGAAAAUUUAAUUUCUUCUUCCAGCUGCCUAGCUGUUGUACCCGUACUGGCAUUCAUGUUGGACAAUCACUCCAACAACAACAAGAGUUCAAUUGUUGUAACCUUUUCAAUUUCAAUAAUAUUUGAUCAGUUCAACUGUUGUUACCUUUUCAGUACGGCCAGUUUGGUUGGUAGCAAAAGACUCCUAUAUGCCUCCACAUUAACAAUACAAUACCUUCUUCGUACAUGGAUGCUUUAAAAAACCAAGUGGAGAACUAUAGUAAAGUGGACUAAAUUAUACUUGUUCAAAGUUACGUUCCAAUAAUCAAAUGAAUAAAUGUAAGUUAUCAACUAUUAACAUAAAUAAUAACCAUGACUCAAGCCAGUCUGGUAUAUAGGUAUAUAUCUAGCAGUCAAAAGUGUGAUUUUUAAU